ensembl:lncRNA
AGCAACACCUACGAAUGAGGAUCAAGUUAACCUACACCCACAAAGGCUCACCUGUGCAAGACCUUGCUGAGGUGAACAACUUCCCACCUCAGUCGUGGCAGUGAUUAUUGCCUGUGUGGCUCCUAAAAGCCCCGUUAAGGGAACUUUGAAAACUAUUUUCUUUUCACUUCCCUCCUUCUUCCAACGGAACCCGCUGUGACACACACAGACAGCUGCCCUCAAGUUGCAUGGGAAGCAGCAAAGAAUCUAACACAGAAAAAUGUUGAUGUUAUGAAGAUCUUAUAGAGAACAAUUCGGUAAACAUAUCAAUCAAUGUACUACUCUUGUGUGUUAUUUUUUUGUCAUGUAUUUCACGAUUUACCUUCACAGAUCAUAUUUGCGCCACUCACUUUUCAAGAGAAAUAAUCCAAUAUUUUCAGUUCAGUCAAAUGUAUGCUUGAUUAGAUUAAAUUAUCAAUACAGUUAAUAGUUCAAUGUUUCAGUUUGCAGUCAGAGUUUGACCUAAAGGCACAUGUCUCUUUGAUGGACAAACUCUCACAUGUUGUCAUAAAUCUCUAGGUUUAAGCCUUUUAGUAAUCUGUGAUUAUAUUAAUUUUAUAUUAGGCGACAAAAAAAUAACAUCACUUUUGUCACAUGAUGGUAACAAAUUCAUCUGGUGGUUCUUUUUUAGUUUCAGGGGUCUAUAAUAAAUUAAAAUGUGCAAACUUUCUGCAUCAAACCUAUCCAUACCUGGGUCCUCACAUUCUGGCUUACAGUUGAGAUGUUGCAUUUAGAUUGCAAAUAGUUCAAAUUUCUUUGGUCACCAUGCACAUACAUGGUAGUUUUGAAUGUAGUUACCAUGCACUGAAUGCUUCUCGUCUAUUAAUCUUUUUCAUAAGUCUCCUCUCUUGGGGACCCUCAUCCUUUUCGCACUACUAUGAUUUACGUUUGUCUUUAGUCGAUUGACUUAAUUAUUUAUGCCUGAUAUCAAAGUGAUGUGCCUUUCUGACUUGGGUGGAUAAAACUCUUGAGUUCCUUAAGAGCUUUGUUUGUACGUCUUCUUAAAUGCUGUUGGAAUCUGGGGUCGCUGUGCAGCUUCAAAUAUGAUCAUAGUUUUUUAAUUUGCUGAUGCACUAACAAUUGUCACAUGAAAUUUUCUGGAGGCCAAAAAAUAUAGUUCAUUAGUCCCAAUUUAUGUUCUUCACAAAUUCUAAAACCCCCUGGAGAAAUCAAAUUGUCAAAAGAAAUCUUGAUUUCUGGCAGCUAAAGUAAUCAGUAAUGAUAUCCCUACUGGUACUUUGGUACUGGCUGUGGUGAUAUUGCAUUACAAAGAGACUUCAAAUUAUAAUCGUAUCUAUGCUGUCUGGGACAGUGUUCUUAAUACCUCUCAAUGUUCUUGUGUUUUGGCAUUGGAAUGAGCUUGAAAAUGAAAUGGAAGCAUUGCAUGAAAGGAUGAGUGUUAUUGUACCCAUCACUUAGCAGCACCAUAAUGGCGAGUGGGAAUCACCAGAUGUUUAAUUGUGGGGUAGUUUUCACUAUACUUCACUGUCUAACUUAACUUGUGACCAAAUUGGUAAGACUUUUAGCUUUGGAAAUAUUUUGAGCUGUGUAUGUAUAUGGAGAAAAUUCACUUUUUGUUGCUGAAAAAUACUUUGGCUUGUUCUGUACAUACGGAGAGCUUUUACAAUGAUCUCUUGUACGAUCUACAUUUUGUCUCUUGUACUAUCUCUCAAUCCUUUUUUUUUUUUUUUUUAAGAUCAUUUUUAUUAAUCUUUAAUUUUCUAAAUAAUUCAAUUAUUC